UUAUAACCAAUAGAAAUUUUAUUUUCUUAAAUAUCAUUUAUAUAUCAAAAACCAGUUUUCUUAAAUCUCAUUUGGCUUUGCCUUCCUUGAAUUGAGUUUAACAUGAACCUUCAACAUAAAAAGAAAACCUUAAAUUACCUAUCAACUGCUAGUGCAGAAUUUUAACAUUUUGGUCUUCCUAUCUCAUUGAACAUUUCAUUUAAAUCCUGUGACCCAAACAUUACAAUUUGUUACUAAACCUUAACUUCUACAAAAGGCAAAAAUUAGAAAAAGUUAAUGCACAGCCAAACACACUCAAACAAACAGUGCAUGUACUUUGUUUCAAUUCAAAACAGUGUAUGAAUUCCAACAAUACACGCUACCAAAUUGAUCCAUCACGUAAGUGCUUAAGCA
rnacentral:lncRNA from 1 species